AAUAUUGGACAAUGGGGGAAACCCUGAUCCAGCCAUGCCGCGUGAGUGAUGAAGGCCCUAGGGUUGUAAAGCCCUUUUGUUCGGGAAGAUAAUGACGGUACCGCAAGAAUAAGCCCGGCCCAACUUCGUGCCAGCAGCCGCGGUAAUACGAAGGGGGCUAGCGUUGCUCGGAAUCACUGGGCGGAAAGGGUUCGUAGGCGGAUCUUUAAGUCAGGGGUGAAAUCCCGGGGCUCAACCCCGGAACUGCCCUUGAUACUGGAGAUCUUGAGUUCGGGAGAGGUGAGUGGAACUGCGAGUGUAGAGGUGAAAUUCGUAGAUAUUCGCAAGAACACCAGUGGCGAAGGCGGCUCACUGGCCCGAUACUGACGCUGAGGCACGAAAGCGUGGGGAGCAAACAGG
rnacentral:rRNA from 1 species